GUACGAUCGCAAGGUUGAAACUCAAAGGAAUUGACGGGGGCCCGCACAAGCGGUGGAGCAUGUGGUUUAAUUCGACGCAACGCGAAGAACCUUACCUGGGCUUGACAUCCCGAGAACCCUGUAGAAACACAGGGGUGCCCCUUCGGGGGAACUUGGUGACAGGUGCUGCAUGGCUGUCGUCAGCUCGUGUCGUGAGAUGUUGGGUUAAGUCCCGCAACGAGCGCAACCCUUGCCUUUAGUUGCCAUCAUUCAGUUGGGCACUCUAAAGGGACUGCCGGUGUCAAGCCGGAGGAAGGUGGGGAUGACGUCAAGUCCUCAUGGCCUUUAUGCCCAGGGCUACACACGUGCUACAAUGGCCGGUACAAAGGGCAGCGAACUUGUGAGAGUAAGCAAAUCCCAGAAAAUCGGUCUCAGUUCGGAUCGGAGUCUGCAACUCGACUUCGUGAAGGUGGAAUCGCUAGUAAUCCCGGAUCAGCAUGCCGGGGUGAAUACGUUCCCGGGCCUUGUACACACCGCCCGUCACACCACGAAAGCUGGUUGUACCAGAAGUCGUCGAGCCAACCUCGUUUCGGCGAGGAGGCAGGCGCCCAAGGUAUGGUUAGUGAUUGGGGUG
rnacentral:rRNA from 1 species